rnacentral:misc_RNA from 1 species
UUUCCGUAGGUGAACCUGCGGAAGGAUCAUUAACACUAAUUAAUGAGUCCAAACCAUUGGAUUUCAACCAACCAUUGUACGAACCUAUUCUUUACGGUUGUGAAUCCACAAGAAAGACAAAAGACCAACACAUUGGGGACAUUGUGGUUUGUGUGAUGCUUCUCCGCGAAUUUUCUUAAUUGAUUUUCUGCGGAGCACGCCUACACAGAAAACUUGUUCUCUUGUUUGGGUGUUUUCUUUGUUGUUGUUUUCACAGCUAGUCCCUGUAAACUACUUUUCUAAACGAUUUUGAAUCUAACUGACUAAAAACAUUUUUUGAUUUUUCCCUCGUGGAUCAGUCAAAUCAUAAGAUAAACGCGAAACAACUCUUAACAACGGAUAUCUUGGCUCUC